UUGUACUGCUCCGUGCUUCAUCUCCACAUGCUUUCUCAGCGAAACCUAGCCAGCCAUUUCCACAGAAACCACAUCUUCGAUCCAAUACCGCUGCUGAAUUCAUAAUCUGGCCAGCCAUAGUUCAUCGAUCGAUCAAAGUUAGAUUACGUAUAAAAUAUGCAGAGGGUAGGUGUUAAUUAGUGUUUGUGUUCGGCGAAGUUUUAAGGUGGGAAUUAUUAAGUAUAAGUAGUGGGAUAUGAUGGGGGGGAUGAUGGAUAUGGAUAAGCUUUUUGUGAGUGUGAAGAGCAAAUUGAAGGCGCUGAAGAUGGGGAGAAAAGUGUAUGCCAAAAUAGAGAAGAGUGAGAGCAUGAGACUGGAGAUUAGGAGCAAGAAAGCCCAGAAGCUGAUUGCUGAGAAUCUGAAGAAGGCUGAUCCACCCAAGGGCAAGAACUGUUCCCAUGCCCAUGCCUUUACCUGCUAUGCCUCUGCCUCUAACUACUAGCAGCUUCUUGCUUUUCGAUGUAUUGAUGAUCAAGCCCGUGCAUUAUUGAUUAAUUUGGAAAAUGAUUUAAUGGGAAAUGACGUUGGUAUUAAUGACUUUGGCUGAUCAACCUCCAAAUAAAAGGUUGUGCAUUUUAGAUGCACUUCACAUUUAGUCAAAAAGUGAAGGUCACUAUACAAGAUUACUGUGAAAUUUCUUGUCGUUGGUAAGGUAUCUUCAGCCCAUAUAGAAGUUCCUUAGUAGUGCACAUACAAAUUUCAAACUGAGAUGUUAGCCUUGUACAUGUACUAGUAUUGCACAAGUCCAAUGCAAGUUAAGGAACGGAUUGCUAUGAAA